UAAGGAAUAUUGGUCAAUGGAGGCAACUCUGAACCAGCCAUGCCGCGUGAAGGAUUAAGGCCCUCUGGGUUGUAAACUUCUUUUAUAUGGGAAGAAAUGUACUUUUUCUAAAGUGCUUGACGGUACCAUAGGAAUAAGCACCGGCUAACUCCGUGCCAGCAGCCGCGGUAAUACGGAGGGUGCAAGCGUUAUCCGGAUUUACUGGGUUUAAAGGGUGCGUAGGCGGAUGAAUAAGUCAGUGGUGAAAUCUCCGGGCUUAACUCGGAAACUGCCGUUGAUACUAUUUGUCUUGAAUAUUGUGGAGGUAAGCGGAAUAUGUCAUGUAGCGGUGAAAUGCUUAGAUAGGACAUAGAACACCAAUUGCGAAGGCAGCUUGCUACACAAUCAUUGACGCUGAGGCACGAAAGCGUGGGGAUCAAACA
rnacentral:rRNA from 1 species